GUGCUUACACAUGCAAGUCGAACGAUGAAGCCCUUCGGGGUGGAUUAGUGGCGAACGGGUGAGUAACACGUGGGCAAUCUGCCCUUCACUCUGGGACAAGCCCUGGAAACGGGGUCUAAUACCGGAUAACACUCUGUCCCGCAUGGGACGGGGUUAAAAGCUCCGGCGGUGAAGGAUGAGCCCGCGGCCUAUCAGCUUGUUGGUGGGGUAAUGGCCUACCAAGGCGACGACGGGUAGCCGGCCUGAGAGGGCGACCGGCCACACUGGGACUGAGACACGGCCCAGACUCCUACGGGAGGCAGCAGUGGGGAAUAUUGCACAAUGGGCGAAAGCCUGAUGCAGCGACGCCGCGUGAGGGAUGACGGCCUUCGGGUUGUAAACCUCUUUCAGCAGGGAAGAAGCGAAAGUGACGGUACCUGCAGAAGAAGCGCCGGCUAACUACGUGCCAGCAGCCGCGGUAAUACGUAGGGCGCAAGCGUUGUCCGGAAUUAUUGGGCGUAAAGAGCUCGUAGGCGGCUUGUCACGUCGGAUGUGAAAGCCCGGGGCUUAACCCCGGGUCUGCAUUCGAUACGGGCUAGCUAGAGUGUGGUAGGGGAGAUCGGAAUUCCUGGUGUAGCGGUGAAAUGCGCAGAUAUCAGGAGGAACACCGGUGGCGAAGGCGGAUCUCUGGGCCAUUACUGACGCUGAGGAGCGAAAGCGUGGGGAGCGAACAGGAUUAGAUACCCUGGUAGUCCACGCCGUAAACGUUGGGAACUAGGUGUUGGCGACAUUCCACGUCGUCGGUGCCGCAGCUAAC
rnacentral:rRNA from 1 species